UCCGCUUCUUGAGGCGUACGUUCAUAAGUGUCCUCAAGAUUAUCCCACAUCUCUUUGGCAGUUUUGUAGUGGGAAAUUUUCCGAUAGUCCUCCUCAUUCAAAGAGCUAUACAAUAUAUUGAUUGCCUUGGUGUUGUAUUCACUUACCAUGGCUUUUCAACCUUGUGUCGUCAUUUGUUCACCAUACUUGAUGAUUUGCCAUAGACGAAAGUUGUUCGAUUGGAUGAAGAUUCUCAUCCGCUCUUUCCAAUAUGUGUAAUUGCUUC
rnacentral:lncRNA from 1 species